rnacentral:rRNA from 1 species
GACGAACGCUGGCGGCGUGCCUAAUACAUGCAAGUAGAACGCAGUUGCGAACGGGUGAGUAACGCGUAGGUAACCGCCUCAUAGCGGGGGAUAACUAUUGGAAACGAUAGCUAAUACCGCAUACUGUUAGAUGGACCUGCGUUGUAUUAGCUAGUUGGUGAGGUAAAGGCUAACCAAGGCGACGAUACAUAGCCGACCUGAGAGGGUGAGCGGCCAAACUGGGAAUGUGAAAAGGCCCAGACUACUACGGGGGGGAAGUAUAGGGAAUUUUCGGAAAUGGGCGGGAGGCUGACCGAGGAACGCCGCGUGAGUGAAGAAGGUUUUCGGAGCGUAAAGGUCUGUUGUUAGAGAAGCGGUAACUGAACAGAAAGGGACGGCUAACUACGUGCCAGCCGCCGCGGUAAUAC